rnacentral:lncRNA from 1 species
CGAAUACAGUGAGAUGAUUGGGCGGAGAGGCGGAGCAGGGGAUUGACCAAUAGGAGCUGUCCGGGACGGAUGGCUCCCAUUGGUCAAUGUUUUUGCAGCCCUGCACCUGAUAGGGUGAACAGAUUUUUUCCGUUCUUUUUUCUCUUCACUUUGUGGAGAUCGCACUAUAGGACCAUGAUCGCCAUAGAAACGAGGUCCAUAAUAAUUACCGAUCUCUCUAAUCGUUAACCAUGACUUUAAAGGGGC